UACGGCCAUAUCGCAUUGAAUCAUCGGUUCUCGUACGAUAACCGAAGUUAAGCAACGUCGAGCCGAAUUAGUACGUAGGGGAUAUGACUGGUUGGGAGUACCAGGUGCUGAA